rnacentral:rRNA from 1 species
UACAGAGGUCUCAACCGUUGUUCGGAUUCAUUGGGCGUAAAGGGUGCGUAGGCGGCGGGGCAAGUCAGGUGUGAAAUCUCGGGGCUCAACCCCGAAACUGCACUUGAUACUGCCUUGCUCGAGUACUGGAGAGGAGACUGGAAUUUACGGUGUAGCAGUGAAAUGCGUAGAUAUCGUAAGGAAGACCAGUGGCGAAGGCGGGUCUCUGGACAGUUCCUGACACUGAGGCACGAAGGUCAGGGGAGCAAACGGG